rnacentral:rRNA from 1 species
UACGAAGGGGGCUAGCGUUGCUCGGAAUCACUGGGCGUAAAGCGCACGUAGGCGGACUCUUAAGUCGGGGGUGAAAUCCUGGAGCUCAACUCCAGAACUGCCUUCGAUACUGGGAGUCUUGAGUUCGGGAGAGGUGAGUGGAACUGCGAGUGUAGAGGUGAAAUUCGUAGAUAUUCGCAAGAACACCAGUGGCGAAGGCGGCUCACUGGCCCGGUACUGACGCUGAAAUACGAAAAGCGUGGGGAGCAAACAGGG